CUGGGCCUGCUGGUGACACUGGAGGGAAGGUCAUGGGGUCACCCAAAAGGACAGAUUUCAUCCUCUAGCCAACAUGCAUGUUGUCAUUAAAUUUCAUGGCAAUCCACCAAACAGACUU